UCUAAUUUGAAUGAGCACUCAUUUAUAGUCUCAUAUCUCAUAAAUUCAAGUGGGUUAACCCUAAAAUCUGCUCAAUCUGUCUCUAAGAAUAAGAGGAUUCUAUCUCCCCAAAAUAUCUAACCGUCCAAGGUAAGGAGGUGAUUAAGGGGAGAUUCUAGCCGUCCAAAUGAGGCCAAUUCUCCACCACAAGCUGGCGGCAACUUCUCCACCACACCCUUAAGGUGGCAAGAAACCUAUAAAUAGGGACUUCAUGCUUCAUUUGUACACACAUUGAAUACACUUAUAGCGUUACCCUUGCAAAGCUAUUCUCUUGUAACCUUAAAUUCGUACAGCCGAUUUUAUUGAGUUAUAAAAUUACUUUCACUUUGCCUAA
rnacentral:misc_RNA from 1 species